AUGCUGUUGGAGUGGGAGAGUGGGAAAAGAAUGGAUCUCUUUGGUUGGUUCAAAGGGAACAAAUUUCUUUCCUACUCCACCCAUUCCUGCAAUUUCCUUAGGUUUCUCCCUUUCCCUUUCCACUUCUUGUUAGAAUUUUUGGUUGAAACAGAAGGUGUUGAGGUUUGAAUUCAUUCCUGAACUCUUCUUUGUGGUGUUGUUUACUAGUGAUUUAGAAAUAUUGUUUGUAAGAAACAGAAAAACUAGUGACUUAUUAUAUAUUGACUGGAUCUGUGCUUUGAUCUUGGCGGCGUGGGAUUUUGUUUACUGAUGAUAAUUUGCAGGUGCAAUUAAUUGUGGAGAUGUUUUCAAAGUGUUGUGUUGGUGAAGAAGAACAAGUGAUUGAAGGAGGUGGAACUUGUGUCCAAGUCAUUGCAAGGUUUUGUUGA
rnacentral:lncRNA from 1 species